GACGAACGCUGGCGGCGCGCCUAACACAUGCAAGUCGAACGAGCGAGAGAGAGCUUGCUUUCUUGAGCGAGUGGCGAACGGGUGAGUAACGCGUGAGGAACCUGCCUCAAAGAGGGGGACAACAGUUGGAAACGACUGCUAAUACCGCAUAAGCCCACGGUGCCGCAUGGCACAGAGGGAAAAGGAGCAAUCCGCUUUGAGAUGGCCUCGCGUCCGAUUAGCUAGUUGGUGAGGUAACGGCCCACCAAGGCGACGAUCGGUAGCCGGACUGAGAGGUUGAACGGCCACAUUGGGACUGAGACACGGCCCAGACUCCUACGGGAGGCAGCAGUGGGGAAUAUUGCACAAUGGGGGAAACCCUGAUGCAGCGACGCCGCGUGGAGGAAGAAGGUCUUCGGAUUGUAAACUCCUGUUGUUGGGGAAGAUAAUGACGGUACCCAACAAGGAAGUGACGGCUAGCUACGUG
rnacentral:rRNA from 1 species